rnacentral:rRNA from 1 species
GAGUUUUGAUCAUGGCUCAGAUUGAACGCUGGCGGCAUGCUUUACACAUGCAAGUCGAACGGCAGCACAGGGAGCUUGCUCCCGGGUGGCGAGUGGCGCACGGGUGAGUAAUACAUCGGAACGUGUCCUGUUGUGGGGGAUAACUGCUCGAAAGGGUGGCUAAUACCGCAUGAGACCUGGAGGGUGAAAGCGGGGGAUCGUAAGACCUCGCGCAAUUGGAGCGGCCGAUGCCCGAUUAGCUAGUUGGUGAGGUAAAGGCUCACCAAGGCGACGAUCGGUAGCUGGUCUGAGAGGACGACCAGCCACACUGGGACUGAGACACGGCCCAGACUCCUACGGGAGGCAGCA